rnacentral:misc_RNA from 1 species
GAUGAAGAACGUAGUGAAAUGCGAUAAGUAAUGUGAAUUGCAGAAUUCAGUGAAUCAUCGAAUCUUUGAACGCACAUUGCGCCCGCCAGUAUUCUGGCGGGCAUGCCUGUUCGAGCGUCAUUUCAACCCUCAAGACCCCUUCGGGGGACUUGGUGUUGGGGACCGGCUGUUCCCGGCCUGCUUCUUGCAGCGCCUUUAUGCCGCCCCCGAAAUGAAUUGGCGGCCUCGUCGCGGCCUCCCCUGCGUAGUAGCACAACCUCGCAACGGGAACGUGACGGCGGCCACUGCCGUAAAACAACCCAAUUUUAUUAGAGUUGACCUCGAAUCAGGUAGGAAUACCCGCUGAACUUAAGCAUAUCAAUAAGCGGAGGA